rnacentral:rRNA from 1 species
CAGCAGCCGCGGUAAGACAGAGGAUGCAAGCGUUAUCCGGAAUGAUUGGGCGUAAAGCGUCUGUAGGUGGCUUUUCAAGUCCGCCGUCAAAUCCCAGGGCUCAACCCUGGACAGGCGGUGGAAACUGCCAAGCUGGAGUACGGUAGGGGCAGAGGGAAUUUCCGGUGGAGCGGCGAAAUGCGUUGAGAUCGGAAAGAACACCAACGGCGAAAGCACUCUGCUGGGCCGACACUGACACUGAGAGACGAAAGCUAGGGGAGCAAAUGGGAUUAGAUACCCCCGUAGUCCCUGUCUCUUAUAC